UACGGAAGGCAGCAGUGGGGAAUAUUGCACAAUGGGCGAAAGCCUGAUGCAGCUAUGCCGCGUGUAUGAAGAAGGCCUUAGGGUUGUAAAGUACUUUCAUCGGGGAGGAAAAAACAAAACUAAUAAUUUUAUUUCUUGACGUUACCCGAAAAAGAAGCACCGGCUAACUCCGUGCCAGCAGCCGCGGUAAUACGGAGGGUGCUAGCGUUAAUCAGAAUUACUGGGCGUAAAGAGCACGUAGGUGGUUUUUUUAAGUCAGAUGUGAAAUCCCUGGGCUUAACCUAGGAACUGCAUUUUGAAACUGAAAUACUAGAGUAUCGUAGAGGGAGGUAGAAUUCUAGGUGUAGCGGUGAAAUGCGUAGAUAUCUGGAGGAAUACCUGUGGCGAAAGCGGCCUCCUAAACGAAUACUGACACUGAGGUACGAAAGCGUGGGGAGCAAACAGGGAUUAGAUACC
rnacentral:rRNA from 1 species